rnacentral:rRNA from 1 species
UACGAAGGGGGCUAGCGUUGUUCGGAAUUACUGGGCGUAAAGGGCGCGUAGGCGGUGUGUCAAGUCAGGCGUGAAAGCCCCGGGCUCAACCUGGGAACCGCGCUUGAGACUGGCACGCUCGAGUUCGGGAGAGGAUGGUGGAAUUCCCAGUGUAGAGGGUGAAAAUUUCGUAGAUAUUGGGGAAGAACACCGAUGGCGAAGGCAGCCAUCUGGACCGACACUGACGCUGAGGCGCGAAAAGCGUGGGGAGCAAACAGG